GGGGAUGUGGCUCAAGCGGUAGUGCGCAUGCCUGGCAUGCAUGUGGCCCGGGUUCGAUCCUCAGCACCA
rnacentral:tRNA from 1 species